rnacentral:miRNA from 1 species
AAAAGAAAAAAAUCAGUGAAUGCCUUGACCUAACACACUGCCUUUUAUGUGGUAGGUACAGUGGGCUCACUGAAACAUUUAACU